rnacentral:rRNA from 1 species
UGGGCUCGAAAUGUAGUGGAAUCCGGUGGAAACAUCGGCGCCCGCAAGGGCCGCUAUAUAGGUGCUGCAUGGCUGUCGCCAGCUCGCGUCGUGAGAAUGUUGGGUUAAGUCCCGCAACGAGCGCAACCCUUGUCCCUAGUUACCAGCGGGUAAGGCCUGGGAACUCUAGGUAGACUGCCUGGUGUCAAACCGGAGGAAGGUGGGGACGACGUCAAGUCAUCAUGGCCCUUACGUCCAGGGCGACACACGUGCUACAAUGGCCGGUACAGAGCGUCGCCAACUCGCAAGAGUGCGCCAAUCGCCAAAAGCCGGUCUAAGUUCGGAUUGUGGUCUGCAACUCGACCACAUGAAGCUGGAAUCGCUAGUAAUCGUGGAUCAGCCACGCCACGGUGAAUCGUUCCC